GCAAGUUCGCCAUAAGAUACCUGUAUUGACGUGCUAGUUUAGCCUUGGGAUACAAUCACCGUGAGCCGGACACGUGGAGUUGGGAUAUUGAGGUUGUCCUUCUACUGACAUUUCAACGUCAAAACGCUGGGAUGUGGAGGAAAUACUUAUUGCUUGUGACCUUGACCCUGUGUGUCAUUAGUGACGGUAUCUCGGGUAGGGACUCGAACUCGGGACCAAGAAGGGGCAGACUGAUGCAACUUGACUAUCGGAGAGACUUCAUAAUUGGACCUGAUGAAACAGCCAAAGUGAGCCCCAUCCUGCUGUCACAGAUGUGCGCAUACUGUCGUCAACAAGGGAACCAGCCGUGUAUCGACCGAAUUUGUUCCAGGACAACAGUAGAGAGGGGCAGUGCGGUAGCCUAGUGGUUAAAGUGUCCCUCGUCACACUGAACACCCGGGUUCAAUUCCCUACAUGGGUACAAUGUGUGAAGCCCAUUUCUGGUGUCCCCGCCGUGAUAUUGCUGGAACACUGCUUAAAGCUCACUCACUCACAACAGUAGAUAGAAGGAGCAGUACAAUGAUUGUACUCACGCAAAGGAAUGAGUUUCAGUAACGAUGUUCCACCUAUAUCAUGGCUCGCGAUAUCAAUGUAGGAAGUUGCUAUGAUGAUGUCCCCUCCCUGGUAAUGCUGCAAUACUGCACAGCGUAGAAACUUACUCACUUAUUCACUCGUUCAACAUUCAGGAUGAAGUAAUAUCAAUGGAUCUCCAGUUGAGAUCCUGGGCGAUUUUGUGUAUUUUAUUUAACGAACUUUCACAUAUAGUGUACAUUUCUGUCAUAUCAUAUGGACUAAAUAUCGGGGCUGGAAUAUAAUGCCAGUAAAUGGAAACCUUCUUUGAGUAAAGCAUAGAAAUUGUAACUAACUGUGGUGUUCAGUGACACAGCUAGUAUAUAUGGUAUAUAUGUAUAACUCCUUUGUGUACAAGAUUAAUACCUGUUUGCUCUGACACUAUUGGAUGGUUGUAGUGUAUUGUAAACUGUUUGCUAAUAAAAACAAUUGUUUGGGGGA
rnacentral:misc_RNA from 1 species